GGAAGGAUGGUCUACUGGUUAGGGCAUUGACCAAAGACUCAGAAGACCUAGGUUCAAUUUCUUGUUCUGCCA
rnacentral:tRNA from 1 species